AGUCUUCUUGCAUAUCUGGGCUCAGUCUCUGUACUCUCACUGCAAGCCUGAGAGGAAUGCAUUGAGAGGAUGGCAUGAGGAAGCACUUUUUCCUAUGUGAGGUCUUGAGAUUUUUCAUGCCAAAUGAUGUGGGAUCUGGAAAGAUGGGCGAAUAGGAAUAGCUCUGGUCUACAGCUCCCAGCAAAACCAACACAGAAGGAACUGCCAUACUUUUUUACACAGCAGCUGCACCAUUUUACAUUCCCACCAGCAAUGCACAACGGUUCUGAUUUCUCUAUGUCUUUUACUGCUGAAAGCAUCCUGAGUGACACAAACUUGAAGCAUGCAAGAGGACUAAAUAACUUCCAAAGUCACACAUAUUGCAUGUCAAGAGCCAGCUUCAAACUCAAGUCCCUGUGACCAGAGGUCGAUGCUCUAAACACAUUUCUGCAUGACCUGCUUGUGGCAGCCUGGAGAAAUUCUACAUAAAUCUUCUCAGAUUCCAGAGGCUGCGAGGUCUGAGAUCAAGGAUCUGACACCUGGUGAGGGCCUUUUUGCUGCAUCAUUUCACAUAGAGACAAAAAGAAACUGAAGAAAAGGAAAAGAAAUUUAUCCAAGAUAGGAGUCUACAGAAUCUGGCUCUCUCUAUAUAUGAUGAUGAUUUUACAAGGAACAUGCACCAUGAAAGGCCAUGUGAGCACACAGCAAGAUGAAAUCUUCCAUCUGCAAGCCAGGAAGAAAGCCUUCACUAGAACCUAACCAUUAUGGAACCCUAACCUUUGACUUCCCGCCUCCAGAUUGCCAGAAAAUGUCUGUUGUUUAAUCUACACUGUUUAUGGUAUUUUAUUACAGCGGCCCAAGUAGACUGAGACAACUGGAGAGCUACUUUGUUUCCUGUGUGUAUGUGUUUUCAGUUCAGCUUUUAUUUGCUUUUCUUUCUCUUUCCCCUCUCCUUGCUCCCUUUCUCUUUCCACUUUCCCACUUUUUUUUUUUUUUUUUUUUCUUAAAAUUAGACCCAAAAACCUGUCCUUGAGACAGCCAAGUUGGCCUUUAAGGGCAGCGUUUACAUGACUUCCAGUCUUUUCUUAAUUGACUAUCUCUGAAAAAUGUAGUAGGCCACUUUAAUUUUCAUACUUUUAGUCUUUCUUCCCACAUAUUGCAGCAUCACACCUUCUAUUCCUCAAUGCCUCUUGUCCUCCUUGCCCAACAUGUUCAGAAUCUAUGCUAAAGAAAGGGCUGUUCCUAUGUGAGUGCAUGCUAUGUGCAUAAGAGAAUGGUACUUUCUCAUUGCAGAGAAAAAUAGAUAAAUAAAUAAAACCUUUUUCCUCUCUUGUGGGCUGAAAUAUGUUCUCCCAAAAUUUACAUAUUGAAGCCCUGAUCCCUAGUACCUCAGAAUGUUACUGCAUUUGUAGGUAGUACAUUACAGAAGGUAAUAAAGUUAAAAUUAGGCCAUAGUGUGAGUCUUAAUGGUAUCUCACUAGUGUCCUUACAAGAGAAGAUUAGGGUUUACAGAGAAACACUAAGAUUUCACAGGCACACACUAAGAAAAAAAGACCAUAUUAAGGGACAGUGAGAAGAUGGUCAUUUCCAAGUGAAGGAGAGAGGCCUGAAAAGAAACCAAACCAGCUGAUACCUUGAUCUUGGACUUCCAGCCUCCAAAAUAAAUUUGUACAGUUUAAGCCCAUCUUGUCCAUGCUAUAUUGUUACAGCAGCAUGCGCAAACUAGUACCUCCUUUUUAAGGCAUUUGGAACAUUGAUGAGAGAGGGGUGUGAUUUUUGAGGGCAGAAAAUCUCAGCACGUUUGAUAUCACAUCAGUAAACAAUAAUCUACUCUACAUUGGCUUUGAUGAGCAAGUAGGAUUUUUAUUCUAGUUUGGCUUAGAAUCAUAAAAUCAUAAUAACCUUAGAUACUACCUAUUUCAAUCUCCUCAUUUUAUAUGUAAUGAUACAGAGGUGCAUAUGGAAGAACUGACUUGUCCAAAGCCCCACAUUAGUUUUUGAUCAAGUCAGGACUACAGUUCAAAUACUUCAACUUCCAGUGCUCUUUUUGGCUACUGUAUAAAAUGUCAUAUCUCAUUUUUAUGUUUUUCCAUCAAUUCUGUUGUAUUUACUAACCAUCAUAGUCUAAGCAUUUACCUUUUCAAAAUAUUUUUGUUUUCUCUCAAGUAUUUAUUUUGGAAUACAUAUUUUUUCUACCUGAGUUUACUAUCUUGUAGGCUGAAAGAUUUUCAGGGAAUACACCAACAAGUUUUUCCACUUCUUGGAUUCUUUUCCUCAGUUUUUAAAUUAUGAUGGUUUUCACCUAUGCUUCCCAGCUCCAUUAAAAAGUUGGUUUUGCUGAAAUAAACCUGCAUAUUUUUGUUUACUAAAUGUACUGAAUUUGUAAUUGUAGACCUUAAUUUGAUUAUAACCACUGUCCUUGAAUUUUCUUCACUCCUGUAUUACUAGAUUUCCUCACCACUACCACCACCAACACCACCACCACACACAUAAAGUCCCUGGCUGUUUCCAUUUUUAAUUCUGCUUUCCUGAGCUACAAAAGAGCCUUUGUUAUAUCCUCACAGGGAAUGUUGAUGCCUUGUGAAGUCUAAGGAUGGCUUUGUCAGAUAGAGUCUUGGCACAGCCUCAAAUAAGUACUCAAUCUUCAUAUGUUGAUGCUAUGUAUAGACAUGUGUGGUACUUUGUAGGCAUUUUGAAGACCAUCUCUGAUCUUUUUUCAAAUAAGAUAGUUCAAUUUUAACAUCAGAUUGAAGCUGUACAGAAUUUCAUUUUCAAUGGUUGAAAGUGGAUUUUAAUCAAAGGGUUAUCAUGAUGAUGAAAGGAAUUGUUUCUAGGAGACAUAAAAGUUUACAAAGCAAUUUUAUAUACAGGAUUCCAUAUGCUCUUUACAUUAAGCAUGUGGAAGUUUACUGUAUGAAUGUUAUAUUCAUUUUUCAGGUGAGCAAAUGGAUAACAAGAAAUCUUUAACAACUGACUCAAAGACAAACCACUAAAUUGAAACCCGUAAUCUUUGUCUCUAGUCCCUUCCAUUUUAUUCUCUUUUGUUUUUGUUUUUUUUUUUUGCACGUUGCAUUUUUGCAUUUCUAUAUCAGUUAGUGUAUUAUUUUAUUUGUGAAACAUUUUAAUGAAUUUUUCUAGGACACAAGGAUAGAAAAAUAAGCUGGAACUAAAUGAAAUUAAUGGUUAGUUCCAGUUAAUACUCAGAUACUUAAAAAAAAUCACCAGUUAAUUAAUUUAGUUCUGUCUUCAAACUAAUUUAUAUUUUUGAAUAUAGUUUCAGUUACUUAUGACCUAGAGUUUUUAAUGCCUAAUUCUGACCUACAGUGCUCUACUGGGUAAGAAAUACAGCCCCACACCAUAUCUGAACCUUCCUUAGUGGUCAUGAGGGUCUGUUUGACAAUAUAAUACAGCUUAGAAGCUUGGAAAAGGCCUGAUAUUUCAGAGGUUAGUAGCUUCUCAGACCAGGCUUUGGAGCUUGUCUUUCACCAAUAAGGCAACAAUAUACCUAACCUCUAAGGCUCAUUAAAAAAAAAAAUUCUAAAAAAGGAAAUGACUAGAGUAUCUCUAUCAUGUGUUUGUUAGAAACAUCUAAUAAAAUAAUACAUGAACAUUGCUCAGCACUGUGUGAUACCUUGCUCCUAGACACUUACCUUUCUAAAAUCAAAACGAAAAAAUCAAAGUUUCAAAUGUUUUGUGCCUUCAUUAUGAAAACCAAAUUCUGUGUGCGUGGCUUCAUACUCAAAAUCAUUCACAAUUUCAAUUUGUCUUAGCAUUUCAAUUUCACCUCCCACCCUGACUGACAAGUUUCUUCCCAACCACUCUAAAGUAACCACCAUCCUUUGUUACCUAAUCUGCUCUACAAUUCCUGUUUCACUAAGCAUUUGCAUUUUCUUUAUCCUGCUGCCAUUUUUUGGAAGAUCCUCUCCUCCUGCAAAAGUCCCUCAAUUCUUCAAUUGAAGUACAAUGAACAUUUAUUGCUUUGCUCUUCAUUCCCAAGCUGCUUCACCCCAAUCCCAUAUCCAUAGUAAUUUUUGUUAUAUUCAGGCCUUCAGCUGAUUGGGAGGGCAUUACAGAGGGCAGAUCACGUUAAGGACGGCAAACUCCUUUACUCAAUCGACCAAUUUAAGUGUUAAUGUCAUCUCAAAAUGCCCUUGCAGGAAGACUCUGAAUGUUUUACCAAAUAUCUGGGCAUCCCAUGGCCCAGUCAAGUUGACAAAAUAAAAUUAACCAUCACAGACUCCUUUGUUGAUCUUGCUCAUGUAACUUCACCCAAAUUGUUUUUAUCCCUGUGUUCUUUGACCUGGGAUUGAGAAUAACACAUCCAACCCCCUGCUUUGAUGUUAGUGUGCAAGAUGACAUCAUUUUAGGGAAUUCAUUGUAUCUAUUAGUAAGAUUGUUCAAUAGAAAAGUAGUACUUUUUUCAUUAUCAGCUUACAAAGAUGAAAAUAAAAAAAUAAAAUAAAUUUUAUCUCAAUGACCCUGAAGCCAAGAUGAAUUUUCAUCUUUUACAUGAAUGAAUAAAAAUAAUUUCCAGGCUGAGUGUAGU
rnacentral:lncRNA from 10 species